UGUAUUCACGACUGUAAGUCGCUCUGGAUAAGAGCGUCUGCUAAAUGGCUAAAA
rfam:Salmo salar isolate Sally breed double haploid chromosome ssa15, whole genome shotgun sequence.